AACAUAAUACCUAUCACACUUUUCGUAAUUCAAUCGUUACACAACAUAUCUUCCUAAUUCACCAGCCCACUAGUAUCCAUGGGGAUCCAUAGGGGUCCCGCUACUCGUUAAUCCUUAACACUUGAAAUCAAAUUCCAGGGCCGUCCCCAUACCCCGUCCGGUAUGGGCGCCAAACCAUAGACCUCAUUACCCCGUCCGGUAU
rnacentral:lncRNA from 1 species